AACGAACGCUGGCGGCAUGCCUAACACAUGCAAGUCGAACGAGACCUUCGGGUCUAGUGGCGCACGGGUGCGUAACGCGUGGGAACCUGCCCUUAGGUUCGGAAUAACUCCCCGAAAGGGGUGCUAAUACCGGAUAAUGUCUUCGGACCAAAGAUUUAUCGCCUUUGGAUGGGCCCGCGUUGGAUUAGCUAGUUGGUAGGGUAAAAGCCUACCAAGGCGACGAUCCAUAGCUGGUCUGAGAGGAUGAUCAGCCACACUGGGACUGAGACACGGCCCAGACUCCUACGGGAGGGAGCAGUGGGGAAUAUUGGACAAUGGGCGAAAGCCUGAUCCAGCAAUGCCGGGGGAGUGAUGAAGGCCUUAGGGUUGUAAAGCUCUUUUACCCGGGAUGAUAAUGACAGUACCGGGAGAAUAAGCUCCGGCUAACUCCGUG
rnacentral:rRNA from 1 species